UACGUAGGGGGCGAGCGUUGUCCGGAAUUAUUGGGCGUAAAGAGCGUGUAGGCGGUUCGGUAAGUCUGCCGUGAAAACCUGGGGCUCAACCCCGGGCGUGCGGUGGAUACUGCCGGGCUAGAGGGUGGUAGAGGCGAGUGGAAUUCCCGGUGUAGCGGUGAAAUGCGCAGAUAUCGGGAGGAACACCAGUAGCGAAGGCGGCUCGUUGGGCCAUUCCUGACGCUGAGACGCGAAAAGCUGGAGGG
rnacentral:rRNA from 1 species